GACGAACGCUGGCGGCGUGCUUAACACAUGCAAGUCGAACGGAAAGGCCCUGCUUUUGUGGAGUGCUCGAGUGGCGAACGGGUGAGUAACACGUGAGUAACCUGCCCUUGACUUUGGGAUAACUUCAGGAAACUGGGGCUAAUACCGGAUAGGAGCUCCUGCUGCAUGGUGGGGGUUGGAAAGUUUCGGCGGUUGGGGAUGGACUCGCGGCUUAUCAGCUUGUUGGUGGGGUAGUGGCUUACCAAGGCUUUGACGGGUAGCCGGCCUGAGGGGGUGACCGGCCACAUUGGGACUGAGAUACGGCCCAGACUCCUACGGGAGGCAGCAGUGGGGAAUAUUGCACAAUGGGCGGAAGCCUGAUGCAGCAACGCCGCGUGCGGGAUGACGGCCUUCGGGUUGUAAACCGCUUUCGCCUGUGACGAAGCGUGAGUGACGGUAAUGGGUAAAGAAGCACCGGCUAACUACGUG
rnacentral:rRNA from 1 species